CCUACGGGCGGCAGCAGUGGGGAAUAUUGCACAAUGGCGGAAACCCUGAUGCAGCGAAGCCGCGUGAGUGAGGAAGUAUUUCGGUAUGUAAAGCUCUAUCAGCAGGGAAGAAAAUGACGGUACCUGACUAAGAAGCCCCGGCUAACUACGUGCAAGAAGCCGCGGUAAUACGUCGGGGGCAAGCGUUAUCCGGAUUUACUGGGUGUAAAGGGAGGGUAGUCGGUUAAUCAAGUCAGAAGGGAAAGCCCAUGGCUUAACCAUGGUACUGCUCUGGAAACUGUAGGGCUUGAGUGCGGGAGGGGCAUGCGGAAUGCCUAGUGUAGCGGUGAAAUGCGUAGAUAUUAGGAGGAACACCGGCGGCGAAGGCGGCCUGCUGGAGCGUAACUGACGUUGAGGCUCGAAAGCGUGGGGAGCAAACAGGAUUAGAUACCCGGGUAGUC
rnacentral:rRNA from 1 species